CCAACCUGGCUGCUGACCUAGGGAGGCAAGAGGAAAGUCCUCCGUGUCCCAGCUGAGGAGCGAGUCCUGCGCACACAGCGGCUGCACCGGGGAGCUCGCAGAGGGAAUGCUGGCUUGCUCCAGGGAAGGCUGCGAUUGCAUCCCUGGGCACUGGAAAUAGAGAAGACCUGAAUUCUUAACGAGUGGCUGAAGAGCAAACCAGGAAGGUUGACUGUACUUUAUGGCAAGAGCUUCCUUUUCAUUCAUCUUCAUGCAUAGUUUCUUCCAGGCAUGGAAACUUUUCCCCUUUAAUAUCUGGGGAACAAACCUGCGAUCAUCGGCUUAUUUACGAAUUACCUCCACGUGCCAUGGGAAUCCAGCCACUUCUGGAGUUGGACAGACCAGCUACUUAGAGAAGCUGAAGAAGUGUGUCUUGGCCAACUCAAAUGACAGGGGAACUGAAAUGCUUUCAAAGUUCUUCAAGUAUGCUGGGUGUGCCCUCUAAAAGGAGCAGUUCAUACACAGCAGAGCCUGCAAUUUCUUAAAAGCAACAGGACCUGUUCAUGAGGCUGAAUUUCGCUGGGAUCCAAGUGCCCUCGAUUUGCACUGGGAGUUCAGGGAGCCCACGACUGAGUCCACUAUAAACUUGUUAUAAUGUCAUUAAUGUCUCAGAUGCCUUGAGACUGUUCCAGGAGCCAAGACUGAG